UACGUAGGUGGCAAGCGUUGUCCGGAUUUACUGGGCGUAAAGAGCGCGCAGGCGGUCGUUCAAGUCGCGUGUGAAAGCCCCCGGCUCAACUGGGGAGGGUCACGCGAUACUGAUCGACUCGAAGGCAGGAGAGGGUAGUGGAAUUCCCGGUGUAGUGGUGAAAUGCGUAGAUAUCGUAAGGAAGACCAGUGGCGAAGGCGGGUCUCUGGACAGUUCCUGACGCUGAGGCACGAAGGUCAGGGGAGCAAACGGGG
rnacentral:rRNA from 1 species